UUUUCAUUUUCGAGUGGCGUGACCGGCGUUUGGACUUGCUGGACGGGUUGAAAUUCAACCCGUUAGCGGGAAACUUCACCGGUCCAUUACAUUUCCAUAUAGAAGCAGGAGUCCUGUAUAUCGACGUCAUAGGAGCUUGAGCAGGGAUUGUGAGAUUCAAACUAAUGGCGUGGGUUCUAAAACAAAUCGUGAUGAUUAUCCAUCUCAAAGGAUUCGUGGGAGAAGGUCACCAGUUCGGCAUACCCCUGAGAGGGAGGAGGUCAAAUUUCCUGAUCAGAAGCACAAGGCAUUGUAUCCUGUGUGACGUAGACCACAAGAUUCUUUGAGGUCACCACAGCAGGAACUAAGAAAGCAAAGUGGUGGUCAUCACUAGGUACCUGUUCGGUUGCAUUCACCAUAAAAAUCUCCAAGUAGGUCGGAGUCCGCACCACCUUUGAGGAAAGUGAUUUCUGGGGAUGGCAAGAGUCCACAGAGAGUCCUCUACGGGGAACACGAGAACAGAGAAAUUGUGCUGAAAGUGCAAGUCCUGUGAGGCAGAUAAGAGAUCACGGUGCUCGUCUCCGUGGUAGUCCAGAAACUAGUGGGGACGAAAAUGUUAUUCGUGCCAGGAGGCAUGCACGUCUUUCUCCUCGAAAGAGAACCAGUCUAGUUACCUAUGGGGUACCCUGUUUUACAACCACCACCAAUGUCAGUGGCAGGUCAGUCACAUCUCCAUGCCAUGAAUUCUGGUCUUUCUAGAUGUCAAGUGGUAAAUGGAGUCUCUGCAACUAGAAAUCUUCACCCUGUUCGAGUAAUCUCGGGAAAUGAGUAAGAACUUAGUCACUUAUUCUCUCAUGUAUUAUCUGUUACAUGUACUUUUUUUUAACUUCGGUUCUAGAUUUCGUAUUUGUAAACUAAGAUUCA